UAGGAUAGAGGCCUACCAUGGUGGUAACGGGUAACGGGGUGUUAGGGCACGACACCGGAGAGGGAGCCUGAGAAACGGCUACCACAUCCAAGGAUGGCAGCAGGCGCGCAAAUUACCCAAUCCCGACACGGGGAGGUAGUGACAAUAAAUAACAAUACGGGGUUCUUUCGGAUCUCGUAAUUGGAAUGAGUACAAUUUAAAUCUCUUAACGAGGAACAAUUGGAGGGCAAGUCUGGUGCCAGCAGCCGCGGUAAUUCCAGCUCCAAUAGCGUAUAUUAAAGUUGUUGCAGUUAAAAAGCUCGUAGUUGAAUUUCGGGGUUAGUAGGUUGGUCAUGCCUCUGGUAUGUACUGGUCUCACUGAUUCCUCCUUCCUUAUGAACCGUAAUGCCAUUAAUUUGGUGUUGCGGGGAAUUUGGACUGUUACUUUGAAAAAAUUAGAGUGUUUAAAGCAAGCUAACGCUUGAAUACAUUAGCAUGGAAUAAUGAAAUAGGACGUUCGAUCUUAUUUUGUUGGUUUCUAGGAUUGACGUAAUGAUUAAUAGGGAUAGUUGGGGGCAUUAGUAUUCAAUUGUCAGAGGUGAAAUUCUUGGAUUUAUUGAAGACUAACUACUGCGAAAGCACUUGCCAAGGAUGUUUUCAUUAAUCAAGAACGAAAGUUAGGGGAUCGAAGACGAUCAGAUACCGUCGUAGUCUUAACCAUAAACUAUGCCGACUAGGGAUCGGAUGA
rnacentral:rRNA from 1 species